rnacentral:lncRNA from 1 species
CUGAGUUUAGGUUUUCUACAGGUACAACCAAACUUUAUUUCUUUGAAAAAAAUAGUAAGGUUUUAAGGUAAUUGUACGUGGUAACGAAAUCCGUGACUUAAUAGUUCACCAGUAAAAAUCACAAAAAUACUGAACUCAGAGGAAAAUCCAAACGGAACGUUUAUAGUGACAUGGCAAAAUCAAAUGACAAAACACAUAAAAAACGAAUGGACAAGAACUGUCAUAUUCCUAAUACAUAGAAUACGUACGUUUAAAUCCAAAAUUCACAACAGACACAGACGUAGCGAACACGUUGUGAUAUAACAGCGUCAGAUGGUGCCAAAGAAACAUCACCCGCCAAAAAAGAAAAUAUUAAUAAGGAACGAAAAAUCGUCCCUUUUUUCGUAAAUUUUGUUGUAGAGUUUUUUGUGUUAAACUGAAAUAUCUAAAUCUAGGAAAGAAAGGUAUUUUUAUACAUAUAUAAAUCUUGGAACGUUUCGACAAGAAAAAGUUCGUUACCUUAAAAAGGGUUUGGUUUGGAAUAAUGGUUGUACCUGUACAUUGUUUGAUAUUAUCUGAUUUCACUCAAUGGGUUCCCGUAGCAGGCAGGAAGGUUAGGACAGAAAGGGAAGGGAGGAGGGUUCGUACACAUUUUAUCUAAUAAAUAAAACAUACUGAUAAAGUCAGAUAAUGGCGAGAUACCAAUUGAAGUAUGCCAAUCAAUUGAAGUCUCAGCCCCACGACC